rnacentral:ncRNA from 2 species
CAGCAGAAUAGAGAUGUAGGUGCCUCAAAGGAGGAUAAAAGGGAAGUACGGUGUGAAUCCGUCACAGCCCCCGCUACUGUAAACGCAGACGAAACCUCAUUACUAGCCACUAGGAUUCUGGGAAGGCGAGGGAGUAGGUUGAAGUGUGAGUCAGGAAACCUGCCUAUGUUAUUUUACAUCU